GAGUUUGAUCAUGGCUCAGAUUGAACGCUGGCGGCAUGCCUUACACAUGCAAGUCGAACGGCAGCACGGGAGCUUGCUCCUGGUGGCGAGUGGCGAACGGGUGAGUAAUGCAUCGGAACGUAUCCUGGGAGUGGGGGAUAACGUAGCGAAAGUUACGCUAAUACCGCAUAUUCUGUGAGCAGGAAAGCGGGGGACCUUCGGGCCUCGCGCUCUUGGAGCGGCCGAUGUCGGAUUAGCUAGUUGGUGAGGUAAAGGCUCACCAAGGCGACGAUCCGUAGCAGGUCUGAGAGGAUGAUCUGCCACACUGGAACUGAGACACGGUCCAGACUCCUACGGAGGCAGCAGUGGGGAAUUUUGGACAAUGGGGGCAACCCUGAUCCAGCCAUGCCGCGUGAGUGAAGAAGGCCU
rnacentral:rRNA from 1 species